rnacentral:rRNA from 1 species
AACGCGAAGAACCUUACCUACCCUUGACAUACAGUGGAUUUUGCAGAGAUGUGGAAGUGCCUUCGGGAACACUGCUACAGGUGCUGCAUGGCUGUCGUCAGCUCGUGUCGUGAGAUGUUGGGUUAAGUCCCGUAACGAGCGCAACCCUUAUCCUUAGUUGCCAGCACGUUGAGGUGGGAACUCUAAGGAGACUGCCGGUGACAAACCGGAGGAAGGCGGGGAUGACGUCAAGUCAUCAUGGCCCUUAUGUCCUGGGCGACACACACGCUACAAUGGGCGAGACAACGGGUAGCCAACCCGCGAGGGGGAGCCAAUCCCAGCAAACUCGCUCUCAGUUCGGAUGGCAGGCUGCAACCCGCCUGCCUGAAGCCGGAGUUGCUAGUAACCGUGGGUCAGCACACCACGGUGAAUACGUUCCCGGGCCUUGUACACACCGAUACUC